AUUGAACGCUGGCGGCAUGCCUUACACAUGCAAGUCGAACGGUAACGGGCCUUCGGGUGCCGACGAGUGGCGAACGGGUGAGUAAUACAUCGGAACGUGCCCGAUCGUGGGGGAUAACGAGGCGAAAGCUUUGCUAAUACCGCAUACGAUCUACGGAUGAAAGCAGGGGACCGCAAGGCCUUGCGCGGGCGGAGCGGCCGAUGGCGGAUUAGGUAGUUGGUGGGAUAAAGGCUUACCAAGCCGACGAUCUGUAGCUGGUCUGAGAGGAUGAUCGGCCACACUGGGACGGAGACACGGCCCAGACUCCUACGGGAGGCAGCAGUGGGGAAUUUUGGACAAUGGGCGCAAGCCUGAUCCAGCCAUGCCGCGUGCAGGAUGAAGGCCUUCGGGUUGUAAACUGCUUUUGUACGGAACGAAAAGCCUUCUUUUAAUACAGGAGGGUCAUGACGGUACCGUAAGAAUAAGCACCGGCUAACUACGUG
rnacentral:rRNA from 1 species